UAUAUUAUAUAGGAUUUAAAUAUUUAGUAUAAAGUUUAAGAGAAGGUUGGGGCCUAAAGAAAAAAAUCUUAACUAAUAGGAGGCUUAUUGUGAGGGAUGAAAGCAAGUUAUGGUUGGAUGAAGGCAAAGAAUAGAAAACUUCAUUCCUAUUGGUUGAAGGCCAUAUCCAAUGGGCUUCAAGGAAGCUGUCCGAGGCCUUAUUAGGGAUUAGGGUUUCUCUUUCGAAGUCAUUCGAACUUUGGAGGCUAUGGUCAAAAAGUUCAGGAUUUGGGGUAUAAUUUGGGUAAAGAGUUUGUGUGAUUUCGAGUUUUUGUGAAAGAGAUAUAGGUGUUCAAAG
rnacentral:lncRNA from 1 species